UGAAGGUGGAGCAAGGAGUCCACAAGCCAAGGAAUGUGGGCAGCCUCUAGAAGCUGGAAAAGACAAGGAAACAGAUUCUCCCCUAGGACCUCCAGAAAAGAAUUCUAACCUCCAGAAUUGGAAUAUGUUCACUUUAACUAUUAAAUGGAUUGAUUGACAAUCGUUGCCCUAUGAGACCUGAGCCUGACAAUUUAUUUAACAACGUGCUGAGUUCCUAGUCUUCGUUGUAGCACAACAAAUUAUAAUCCACUACAAAACAUCUUCCUAAGGACGUUAGGCCUGAGGAUUAUCUAUUUCCUCUGCAGAAUUUAAUGAUGAAUCAAUCAUGGUCAUUCUGCUGGCUGAGCGACAUAGAAGAAAGUGAAUGAUAGUGGGCACUCCGGCUGCUGUUACCUCUAUACCUGUUUUAAAACAUGUCUAUAAAGUUUCUGUAAAUCAAGGUUAAAUUUGGGAGGUGAGAGUUGUAUAUAAUUUGUAGAACUUCAGAUACAUAGUUAUUUAAUCAUGUAACGUGUAAGUGACCCAGCAAAUAAACCUCAUAGUUUUUAUCUUGGAAGUAUUUAUUUUCGUGUUUAAGAAGAGCUAAUUAUUUGAGAGAAAUGAUAACAAAAGUUAAUGUCGUGAUUGGAGGAACUCUCUUUAACAUAGUUUUCCCUCUAAUUUUGCAAGAAACCAGCCUGCCAAAGUUUCAUUCCCUUUAGGCUGAGGAUCUCGUUAUUGAGACCCCUACAGAUGGUGUGAUUGAAAUUUUGAAUCUCUGCAUAAUCACCUCAUCAUUUUGAUCUUUUGAUGCAAAUCUCUAGACAAUCAUGGACAUUACACCAAGAAAAAGCUUCGGAAGUUCAAUUUUCUCCCUAAAUUACUCACAUUUCACAUAUGCACUACAUAAAUCUGAAAUAUUGCUAGUAUGCCUAUCUCCUCUCAAGUAUUAAAAAAUUGGACUGUAAACUUUCUAUGACUAAUUAUUUUAUCUUAUACAUUCUAUGAAGUUAGGGGAUCAGGCAAUAUUGUAUUUGGAAAAUUUUGGUUUUAAAUAAUGUGUUAUCUUUUUGAUUGAUUUCAAGUCUCAGCAUUUUGCAGUUCACAUUAUCCUAUUUUUUUUGUCAGUGUGUCACUAGCCUGCAAAUUACGGUUUCCUUUCUUCUUUACCCUAUAGGAUGAGAAUAUUAUUCAACAUAGAAAUUUAGUUUUAUGUUAAAUGGAAUUAGUUUUAUAUUAAAAGAAUUGAAUUGCACCUGUUAACAUACCAAAAUAUUAUUCCAAGUGAGGAA
rnacentral:lncRNA from 1 species